rnacentral:misc_RNA from 1 species
GAUGAAGAACGCAGCGAAAUGCGAUAAUUAAUGUGAAUUGCAGAAUUCCGUGAAUCAUCGAGUCUUUGAACGCACAUUGCGCCUCAUGGCAUUCCGUGAGGCAUGCCCAUCUCAGCGUUAGAAAAUAUUCUCAAAUUUUAGUUUUGUGCUAAAAUUUGGAUCAUGUCAAGGAAGCUAUUACUAUUAUUGUGAUCGCUCUUUGGAAAUUGAUAGGUCUUUGAGUUGCUACUCAUAGAACGUGAUGAAUCUUUCUUCGUUCUAUUGUAAUUCACUCUGGUAGUCCUAAAACUUGUAUGCCUGUGGCAUAUCUUGUAAUUUGACCUGAGAUUGGGUAGGGAUACCCGCUGAACUUAAGCAUAUCAUAGCGGAGGA